GCCUGGCUGUCUCAGUUGGAAGAGCAUGAGAUUCUUGAUCUCAGGGUCAUGAGUUCAAGCCCCAUGUUGGGUG
rnacentral:tRNA from 1 species